rnacentral:rRNA from 1 species
GUUUUGAAAGGCGCUUUACGGUGCCGCUGAUGGAUGGACCCGCGGUGCAUUAGCUAGUUGGUGAGGUAACGGCUCACCAAGGCCACGAUGCAUAGCCGACCUGAGAGGGUGAUCGGCCACAUUGGGACUGAGACACGGCCCAAACUCCUACGGGAGGCAGCAGUAGGGAAUCUUCGGCAAUGGACGAAAGUCUGACCGAGCAACGCCGCGUGAGUGAAGAAGGUUUUCGGAUCGUAAAACUCUGUUGUUAGAGAAGAACAAGGGUGAGAGUAACUGUUCACCCCUUGACGGUAUCUAACCAGAAAGCCACGGCUAACUACGUGCCAGCAGCCGCGGUAAUACGUAGGUGGCAAGCGUUGUCCGGAUUUAUUGGGCGUAAAGCGAGCGCAGGCGGUUUCUUAAGUCUGAUGUGAAAGCCCCCGGCUCAACCGGGGAGGGUCAUUGGAAACUGGGAGACUUGAGUGCAGAAGAGGAGAGUGGAAUUCCAUGUGUAGCGGUGAAAUGCGUAGAUAUAUGGAGGAACACCAGUGGCGAAGGCGGCUCUCUGGUCUGUAACUGACGCUGAGGCUCGAAAGCGUGGGGAGCAAACAGGAUUAGAUACCCUGGUAGUCCACGCCGUAAACGAUGAGUGCUAAGUGUUGGAGGGUUUCCGCCCUUCAGUGCUGCAGCUAACGCAUUAAGCACUCCGCCUGGGGAGUACGACCGCAAGGUUGAAACUCAAAGGAAUUGACGGGGGCCCGCACAAGCGGUGGAGCAUGUGGUUUAAUUCGAAGCAACGCGAAGAACCUUACCAGGUCUUGACAUCCUUUGACCACUCUAGAGAUAGAGCUUCCCCUUCGGGGGCAAAGUGACAGGUGGUGCAUGGUUGUCGUCAGCUCGUGUCGUGAGAUGUUGGGUUAAGUCCCGCAACGAGCGCAACCCUUAUUGUUAGUUGCCAUCAUUUAGUUGGGCACUCUAGCAAGACUGCCGGUGACAAACCGGAGGAAGGUGGGGAUGACGUCAAAUCAUCAUGCCCCUUAUGACCUGGGCUACACACGUGCUACAAUGGGAAGUACAACGAGUCGCGAAGUCGCGAGGCUAAGCUAAUCUCUUAAAGCUUCUCUCAGUUCGGAUUGUAGGCUGCAACUCGCCUACAUGAAGCCGGARKMGMKWKWRAUCGYGGRUCAGCACGCCGCGGUGAAUACGUUCCCGGGCCUUGUACACACCGCCCGUCACACCACGAGAGUUUGUAACACCCGAAGUCGGUGAGGUAACCUUUUUGGAGCCAGCCGCCUAAGGUGGGAUAGAUGAUUGGGGU